UCUGGGAAGAAUUAUUGGAGUUCAUAAAGUUCUUAUAAAUUUAGGGUUCACUGGAAAUUAUCUAAAAAAUUCAGACGGGCACUUGUCCAUUAGUUCAGAGUCCCCUGUGCAACAAACUGAACUGGGUAAAGUAUGGAAAUUUCUGGGUUUUGCAGUCUGGUUUCUUUUUCUUCAUUUCCUUUUUCUUUUUAGGUUGUGGUAGCUUCUUAAGAUUAGGUCAUUCUGCUUUAAUGCUAUACCUUGUUUUCCUGGAUACAGGAGGAGUGCAAAAGAUGAAGCGGCGUGUCAAGAGAG
rnacentral:misc_RNA from 1 species